UACGAAGGGGGCUAGCGUUGCUCGGAGUCACUGGGCGUAAAGGGUGCGUAGGCGGGUCUUUAAGUCAGAGGUGAAAUCCUGGAGCUCAACUCCAGAACUGCCUUUGAUACUGAGGAUCUUGAGUUCGGGAGAGGUGAGUGGAACUGCGAGUGUAGAGGUGAAAUUCGUAGAUAUUCGCAAGAACACCAGUGGCGAAGGCGGCUCACUGGCCCGAUACUGACGCUGAGGCACGAAAGCGUGGGGAGCAAACAGG
rnacentral:rRNA from 1 species